GAUGAACGCUGGCGGCGUGCCUAAUACAUGCAAGUCGAGCGAACAGACGAGGCGCUUGCUCCUCUGACGUUAGCGGCGGACGGGUGAGUAACACGUGGAUAACCUACCUAUAAGACUGGGAUAACUUCGGGAAACCGGAUCUAAUACCGGAUAAUAUAUUGAACCGCAUGGUUCAAUAGUGAAAGACGGUUUUGCUGUCACUUAUAGAUGUAUCCGCGCCGAAUUAGCUAGUUGGUAAGGUAACGGCUUACCAAGGCAACGAUGCGUAGCCGACCUGAGAGGGUGAUCGGCAACACUGGAACUGAGACACGGUCAAGACUCCUACGGGAGGCAGCAGUAGGGAAUCUUCCGCAAGGGGCGAAAGACAGACGGAGCAACGCCGCGUGAGUGAUGAAGGUCGUCGGAUCGUAAAACUCUGUUAUUAGGGAAGAACAAAUGUGUAAGUAACUAUGAACGUCUUGACGGUACCUAAUUAGAAAGACACGGAUAACUACGUG
rnacentral:rRNA from 1 species